ACGUAUCUAAGGCGCUCGGCCGAGGCCCUGCUCCGACCGAAAGGUCGUGCAGCGGGUCGAGGCAGACGCCUAACCUUCACAAACCCACUGUGCACCUUCACGGCAGAGGCCGCCGGGCGAGAGCCUGACGGUCGAAACCGUCUCUACAAACACUAGUAUUUAAGAACGUCGAAGCGACUCUGUCGCCCAUUAAACAUAA
rnacentral:misc_RNA from 1 species